UUAAGCGACUAAGCGUACACGGUGGAUGCCCUGGCAGUCAGAGGCGAUGAAGGACGUGCUAAUCUGCGAUAAGCGUCGGUAAGGUGAUAUGAACCGUUAUAACCGGCGAUUUCCGAAUGGGGAAACCCAGUGUGUUUCGACACACUAUCAUUAACUGAAUCCAUAGGUUAAUGAGGCGAACCGGGGGAACUGAAACAUCUAAGUACCCCGAGGAAAAGAAAUCAACCGAGAUUCCCCCAGUAGCGGCGAGCGAACGGGGAGGAGCCCAGAGCCUGAAUCAGUGUGUGUGUUAGUGGAAGCGUCUGGAAAGGCGCGCGAUACAGGGUGACAGCCCCGUACACAAAAAUGCACAUACUGUGAGCUCGAUGAGUAGGGCGGGACACGUGGUAUCCUGUCUGAAUAUGGGGGGACCAUCCUCCAAGGCUAAAUACUCCUGACUGACCGAUAGUGAACCAGUACCGUGAGGGAAAGGCGAAAAGAACCCCGGCGAGGGGAGUGAAAAAGAACCUGAAACCGUGUACGUACAAGCAGUGGGAGCACAGAGCAAUCUGUGUGACUGCGUACCUUUUGUAUAAUGGGUCAGCGACUUAUAUUCUGUAGCAAGGUUAACCGAAUAGGGGAGCCGAAGGGAAACCGAGUCUUAACUGGGCGUUAAGUUGCAGGGUAUAGACCCGAAACCCGGUGAUCUAGCCAUGGGCAGGUUGAAGGUUGGGUAACACUAACUGGAGGACCGAACCGACUAAUGUUGAAAAAUUAGCGGAUGACUUGUGGCUGGGGGUGAAAGGCCAAUCAAACCGGGAGAUAGCUGGUUCUCCCCGAAAGCUAUUUAGGUAGCGCCUCGUGAAUUCAUCUCCGGGGGUAGAGCACUGUUUCGGCAAGGGGGUCAUCCCGACUUACCAACCCGAUGCAAACUGCGAAUACCGGAGAAUGUUAUCACGGGAGACACACGGCGGGUGCUAACGUCCGUCGUGAAGAGGGAAACAACCCAGACCGCCAGCUAAGGUCCCAAAGUCAUGGUUAAGUGGGAAACGAUGUGGGAAGGCCCAGACAGCCAGGAUGUUGGCUUAGAAGCAGCCAUCAUUUAAAGAAAGCGUAAUAGCUCACUGGUCGAGUCGGCCUGCGCGGAAGAUGUAACGGGGCUAAACCAUGCACCGAAGCUGCGGCAGCGACACUAUGUGUUGUUGGGUAGGGGAGCGUUCUGUAAGCCUGUGAAGGUGUACUGUGAGGUAUGCUGGAGGUAUCAGAAGUGCGAAUGCUGACAUAAGUAACGAUAAAGCGGGUGAAAAGCCCGCUCGCCGGAAGACCAAGGGUUCCUGUCCAACGUUAAUCGGGGCAGGGUGAGUCGACCCCUAAGGCGAGGCCGAAAGGCGUAGUCGAUGGGAAACAGGUUAAUAUUCCUGUACUUGGUGUUACUGCGAAGGGGGGACGGAGAAGGCUAUGUUGGCCGGGCGACGGUUGUCCCGGUUUAAGCGUGUAGGCUGGUUUUCCAGGCAAAUCCGGAAAAUCAAGGCUGAGGCGUGAUGACGAGGCACUACGGUGCUGAAGCAACAAAUGCCCUGCUUCCAGGAAAAGCCUCUAAGCAUCAGGUAACAUCAAAUCGUACCCCAAACCGACACAGGUGGUCAGGUAGAGAAUACCAAGGCGCUUGAGAGAACUCGGGUGAAGGAACUAGGCAAAAUGGUGCCGUAACUUCGGGAGAAGGCACGCUGAUAUGUAGGUGAAGCGACUUGCUCGUGGAGCUGAAAUCAGUCGAAGAUACCAGCUGGCUGCAACUGUUUAUUAAAAACACAGCACUGUGCAAACACGAAAGUGGACGUAUACGGUGUGACGCCUGCCCGGUGCCGGAAGGUUAAUUGAUGGGGUCAGCGCAAGCGAAGCUCUUGAUCGAAGCCCCGGUAAACGGCGGCCGUAACUAUAACGGUCCUAAGGUAGCGAAAUUCCUUGUCGGGUAAGUUCCGACCUGCACGAAUGGCGUAAUGAUGGCCAGGCUGUCUCCACCCGAGACUCAGUGAAAUUGAACUCGCUGUGAAGAUGCAGUGUACCCGCGGCAAGACGGAAAGACCCCGUGAACCUUUACUAUAGCUUGACACUGAACAUUGAGCCUUGAUGUGUAGGAUAGGUGGGAGGCUUUGAAGUGUGGACGCCAGUCUGCAUGGAGCCGACCUUGAAAUACCACCCUUUAAUGUUUGAUGUUCUAACGUUGACCCGUGAUCCGGGUUGCGGACAGUGUCUGGUGGGUAGUUUGACUGGGGCGGUCUCCUCCUAAAGAGUAACGGAGGAGCACGAAGGUUGGCUAAUCCUGGUCGGACAUCAGGAGGUUAGUGCAAUGGCAUAAGCCAGCUUGACUGCGAGCGUGACGGCGCGAGCAGGUGCGAAAGCAGGUCAUAGUGAUCCGGUGGUUCUGAAUGGAAGGGCCAUCGCUCAACGGAUAAAAGGUACUCCGGGGAUAACAGGCUGAUACCGCCCAAGAGUUCAUAUCGACGGCGGUGUUUGGCACCUCGAUGUCGGCUCAUCACAUCCUGGGGCUGAAGUAGGUCCCAAGGGUAUGGCUGUUCGCCAUUUAAAGUGGUACGCGAGCUGGGUUUAGAACGUCGUGAGACAGUUCGGUCCCUAUCUGCCGUGGGCGCUGGAGAACUGAGGGGGGCUGCUCCUAGUACGAGAGGACCGGAGUGGACGCAUCACUGGUGUUCGGGUUGUCAUGCCAAUGGCACUGCCCGGUAGCUAAAUGCGGAAGAGAUAAGUGCUGAAAGCAUCUAAGCACGAAACUUGCCCCGAGAUGAGUUCUCCCUGACCCUUUAAGGGUCCUGAAGGAACGUUGAAGACGACGACGUUGAUAGGCCGGGUGUGUAAGCGCAGCGAUGCGUUGAGCUAACCGGUACUAAUGAACCGUGAGGCUUAACCUU
rnacentral:rRNA from 1 species